rnacentral:rRNA from 1 species
GAUCCCAUCAGAACUCCGAAGUUAAGCGUGCUUGGGCGAGAGUAGUACUAGGAUGGGUGACCUCCUGGGAAGUCCUUGUGUUGCAUCCC